rnacentral:tRNA from 1 species
GCUUGGGUGGUUCAGUGGUAGAAUUCUUGCCUGCCACGCAGGAGGCCCAGGUUUGAUUCCUGGCCCAUGCA